ensembl:lncRNA
GUUUUAAGGUGGUGCUAUUUAUUGACAGCUUCCUGUGCUCUUGGGACUCUGCUAGGCCCUUCAGUCCUUCACAGAAUCCUGACAACUUCCCUGGGUUCCACGGUCCGCUUUUACAGGGGAGAAGAGAGUCCGAGGCAGCUGACGUAGUCGCUGCUAAGUGCCAGGACGUCCUCGGCUCCUGGUCUAGACGCCUGUCCUCAGCUGCCUCCUCUAAGGGCUGGCAAACUUCAGGCUGAAUGUUCUGGGGCGUGUUGCACUGCAUAGGGGUGAAAGAAUUCCUCCAAAUCAUCCGUGAGAAGAGCGUUCCCGUGGCUCGGCAGGUCACUCCAUGGCCGGGCAAGCAUUACCUGGAUGGGGAGAUGACGGAAGCCCCGCCCACUGUGUGCCACCAAGCCGGCCGGCAACUUCCUGCUCCCACUUCAUUCCAGACGCAGCUAGAAACUGGUUUUAGAACUUCGGGGACAAAACAUGUUACUCAGUUCACUACGCUAUGUUUUAUUUCCACCUAGAAAUGAUGCCUCCUGCCAGUGGAUAUGAAGAAAAUGUCACUGUAAUUAAUGCCAGUUAAUCAAGUUGGUGGCCCUUGAAGAUCUAUAAAAGGGAGCUGAGACACAGUUUUACACGUGGAUUUGAAUAGAGUAUUUAGGAAACAGUAAAUGCUGUCAUCAUCAGCCUGACUUUGGACAGUUUAGCCAGGGUAUGUGAAUGGCCCUAUAGGACUGGGGAGAAAGCCAGGCAGCCGUACUUCUUUGGUGGGAAAUAUAAAGAGUUCACCAUAAAGAGGAUGAGUCAUCAUUUUUAAUCUCUGGAAACCUGUUUCUGCAAGCAUUAUUUGGUGAAAAGUAGAAAAUAAGACUGAAGACUUUGGUAUUUCAUUGUAACCCAGUAAAUAUGAUUUCUAGAAAUCUUCUAAUUUUGGAUAUGUGCUCAAAGAACUUAUGCAUAUUUUAGACAAAAGAACUAUCCAUUUUAGGUGCAGUUAGUAGAAACUAGCAAACUCAAGCUUAAUGGACAUGAAGAUGUGAAGCAAACAACCAAAUAAGCUGACACAAAUAGAGAUGAUAUUGAAAAUGUUUUUAACAACUGGUAUGGCAGGUGUGCAGAUGAGCUCAGAGCCUGCUGGCCAGGUGGGAGCAGGGUGCCAGGUGUCAGGAUCGGGGAUUCUUGGGGGUUCUGGGAGAAGGGCUCGGUCGUGUGGCUAAGAGCUCAGAGCAGUAACUACGCUCUAAUGGG